AGGACGAACGCUAGCGGCGUGUUUGAAACAUGCAAGUCGAACGGGAGGAGUAAUCCUCCAGUGGCGAACGGGUGCGUAACACGUAAAGAACCUAUCCAGGAGCGGGGGAUAGCCUCUAGAAAUGGGGGGGUAAUACCGCAUAAGCUACAAAGCAGGCAUCUGGUUUGUAGGAAAGGGAUACUUCGGUAUUUCACUGAUGGAGGGCUUUGGCGGCCUAUCAGGUAGUUGGUGGGUAACGCCUACCAAGCCAAAGACGGGUAGCUGGUCUGAGAGGACGAUCAGCCACACUGGGACUGAGAUACGGCCCAGACUCCUACGGGGGGCAGCAGUUUAGAAUAUUGUGCAAUGGGCGAAAGCCUGACACAGCGACGCCGCGUGGGUGAUGAAGGCCUUAGGGUCGUAAAGCCCUGUUGGUAGGGAAGAGCGAAGGACGGUACCUACCGGAGGAACGCCCCGGGCUAACUACGCGCCAGCAGCCGC
rnacentral:rRNA from 1 species